rnacentral:rRNA from 1 species
UACGUAGGGUGCGAGCGUUGUCCGGAAUUACUGGGCGUAAAGGGCGCGUAGGCGGGAUGGCAAGUCGGUCGUGAAAUCCCUCGGCUCAACCGAGGAACGUCGAUCGAUACUGCUGUUCUUUGAGGAUUGCAGAGGAGACUGGAAUUCCCGGUGUAGCGGUGAAAUGUGUAGAUAUGUGGAGGAACACCAGUGGCGAAGGCGACUCUCUGGGCUGUAACUGACGCUGAGGCGCGAAAAGCGUGGGGGAGCAAAACAGG